AAUUUAGUUAGAGGUUGCAUUUUUAAUGAGUCGCUUGUCAGAAGCAGAGAUGAUGCGUAUGUUGAACAAGUUAAAGGUAAAAAUGCCGAAGCGAGUUAUCGUCAUCCAGAUAACUUGUUGGGCUAGUGAUCGAAAGGUGCUAGACUGUCACAAACGUGAUGUGCUACUUAUUUG
rnacentral:ncRNA from 1 species